rnacentral:rRNA from 1 species
AUUGAACGCUGGCGGCAGGCCUAACACAUGCAAGUCGAACGGUAACAGGAAGAAGCUUGCUUCUUUGCUGACGAGUGGCGGACGGGUGAGUAAUGUCUGGGAAACUGCCUGAUGGAGGGGGAUAACUACUGGAAACGGUAGCUAAUACCGCAUAACGUCGCAAGACCAAAGAGGGGGACCUUCGGGCCUCUUGCCAUCGGAUGUGCCCAGAUGGGAUUAGCUAGUAGGUGGGGUAACGGCUCACCUAGGCGACGAUCCCUAGCUGGUCUGAGAGGAUGACCAGCCACACUGGAACUGAGACACGGUCCAGACUCCUACGGGAGGCAGCAGUGGGGAAUAUUGCACAGUGGGCGCAAGCCUGAGGCAGCCAUGCCGCGUGUAUGAAGAAGGCCUUCGGGUUGUAAAGUACUUUCAGCGGGGAGGAAGGGAGUAAAGUUAAUACCUUUGCUCAUUGACGUUACCCGCAGAAGAAGCACCGGCUAACUCCGU